CUAAGAAUAUUCCGCAAUGGACGAAAGUCUGACGGAGCGACGCCGCGUGGAUGAUGAAGGCCGGAAGGUUGUAAAAUCCUUUUAUGACUGAGGAAUAAGUGAAGUGAGGGAAACGCUUCAUGGUGACUGUAGGUCAUGAAUAAGCAACGGCUAAUUACGUGCCAGCAGCCGCGGUAACACGUAAGUUGCGAGCGUUGUUCGGAAUUAUUGGGUUUAAAGGGAGCGUAGGCCGCCUGGUAAGCGUGUUGUGAAAUGUCGUUGCUCAACAACGUCACUGCAGCGCGAACUGCCGGGCUUGAGUGUGCGGAAAGCGGGCGGAAUUUGUGGUGUAGCGGUGAAAUGCUUAGAUAUCACGAAGAACUCCGAUUGCGAAGGCAGCUCGCUGUAGCAU
rnacentral:rRNA from 1 species